rnacentral:rRNA from 1 species
AACUUGGAGACAUUGGCAGGAGCCCCGGGAAGAGUUAUCUUUUCUCCUUAACAGUCUACCACCCUGAAACUAAUUUGUUUGGAGCUAGGGUUCAAUGACUGGUAGAGCACAACACCUCUGUUGUGUCCGGUGCGUUCUUGACAAUCCNUGAAAAUCCAAGGGAAUGAAUAAUUUUCACACCUGGUC